UGAAGAUGCACAGAGAGAGGGAGGAAAGGUAAACAGAGCGAGAAAGAAAAUAACUAUUAGAGGACAGAUCACUCUCCUCCAGGACCUCCACAGACUGUCUGUGAAACUGCAGCUGUGAUUCGACCAAAGCUCUCCUUGUCGACUAUAGUUUGGAAAGGGUCGAUGAAGUUCUGUUUGACGUCAAUGUCUAGAGAGUCUUUUACUUCUGCCAGUCUCUUCAUGGCCUCUCCCAUCUCCACUAAAGCGCCACCUAUGGAUCCGACGAGGAACAUGCACAAAAAUGUUAUGUUAAAAACAAA